rnacentral:rRNA from 1 species
UUGGAGGGCAAGUCUGGUGCCAGCAGCCGCGGUAAUUCCAGCUCCAAUAGCGUAUAUUAAAGUUGUUGCAGUUAAAAAGCUCGUAGUUGAAUUUCGGGAUCAAUACGUCGGUCGUGCUUCGGUACGUACUGGCGUAAUUGAUUUCUCCCUUCUGACGAACCAUGAUGUCAUUAACUUGGUGUCAUGGGAAAUCAGGACUGUUACUUUGAAAAAAUUAGAGUGUUUAAAGCAGGCUCACGCUUGAAUACAUUAGCAUGGAAUAAUGAAAUAGGACGUUCGAUCCUAUUUUGUUGGUUUUUAGGAUCAACGUAAUGAUUAAUAGGGAUAGUUGGGGGCAUUAGUAUUCAAUUGUCAGAGGUGAAAUUCUUGGAUUUAUUGAAGACUAACUACUGCGAAAGCAUUUGCCAAGGAUGUUUUCAUUAGUCAAGAACGAAAGUUAGGGGAUCGAAGACGAUCAGAUACCGUCGUAGUCUUACGACUAAACUAACUAGUACGACCGUAAGGGUAAGGUACGGUACGGUAGUAGUAGUUUAAGUUUUUUAAAUUUUUAAGUACGUACUACUU